GGUCAAGUGCAGUGGUCUGCCGUUUGGUAUGUACUGCUUGCCUAGGCCUAAUCUUCCGGGAAACCAGUGUGCUCUUAACUGAGUGUGCUGGGGAACUGGAAACGUACCGUGAACAAAUCAGAGUGUUUAAAGCAGGCCUUUGCUUGAAUACAUUAGCAUGGAAUAAUAAAAUAGGACAUUGGUUCUAUUUUGUUGGUUUGAGGACCAAUGUA
rnacentral:rRNA from 1 species